rnacentral:lncRNA from 1 species
UGUAAAGUCUUCAUAUUUUGAUAAAGAUAUUAGUAACCAGAGAGUUCUUGCAAAAAUACUAAUAUAAUGCAAAAUAAAGAGAAACAAUUACAAUUUAACACAUCAUUCUUAUGUUUAUUAACCCACUUCUCACCUUAAAUCGUCUCCUAUGUUUCAUUCUCUACCCCCUCUCAAUCUCUACUGCGAAAACUGAAGAAACAUCACUGCCACCGGAAGCCCUCUCUUUUUCUUUUUCCUAAAAUUCUAACCCAUGCCAGAAAUCAAUGUGUUGUCGUCGUUCCUCUUUGUAGUAGCAACACGCAACCACCAAAAAAAUGAUCAACGAUGAGACAAUGAUAUUGGUUGUACAAUGGUUUUUGUUCAAAAUCUUGACAAUAAAGUCCCAAUUCCCACAUUUUGGUUCAAAUCCGGUAUGUAUUUGAUUUCUUGUUCCAAUUUAUGGUUUUUUUCGAUGGAAGCUUAAGAAUUUUUUAUAGAGUCGAAGCUUAAGGAUUUCCCAAGUUGUCAACAUUAUUUUCUUGGAAUUUAAACUAGGUUAGGAUGAUGUAAACAUGAUUACGAUUUGGAGACCCAAUUGUGGUCCAAUUUCAUCCCCAUGUUUCUAAUAUUUGAUUUUAAAAAUAGAUAGCUUGAAGGUUAAAAUUGGUUCCGGAACCCAUUUAAGUUUAUUGAAUUUAUUACAACCUGGUCAUGUUUAUGAUCUGAGUGUUCAUUCAUCCACAGGUGGCGGUGCCAAUGAGAGAUUAGAUCACGACUAAAAUCAAAGGUGGUGUAAAUGUCAUCUAGGUUUGAAAUUCAUUGGGUUGAAUUUGAAUCUAGUGUUAGAGGAAGAAUUAGGAUCGGAUAGGUUAGAGUGAAAGUUACUCACCACUCCAAAUCUCCAUUACCUUAAAUGCGGGUAGAUUAAGUUCGAAGGGAGUUUUGGAUGGACUAAUUAAGGAGUCCACCAUUGAUGACAAAAGGAGCUUAUGGAUUUUGAUGCAGCUGCAUUUGACAUGAAGAUUUGGGUUAGAAAUUUAUCAAGGUUUGGACCAGUUUCCGGAAUCAUGUAAUAUCUGUAAUUUUGUGGUGUUUCACAAUUUCAAGUACGCCUACAUCGAGGGUGAUAAAAAUUCUCUCAUCUCACAAGUACUCCGUUAUUAGAAUCUUUAAAGCGUUGGUAAUUUUUUUUUCUAGUCACUCCAUAUAAUGAUAUCCCUUAAUUUACCCCUAAAUCACAAGGGAACCACUAGUAAAUGUCAAAUUCAAAAUAUGCACUACUUCACCUCAAGUGACACAUCCUAAAGGAAUCACCACUUCAAAAACUUUUGAAACACUCCACGCGAUCUAUGCGUCUACCACCAUAACAAAACAUCCAUUGAUACAUCUUCGAUUAAACGUAAAUGAUUCUCGAUACAAAUAUCUAAAACAUUACAACACCAUUUAAAUGUUUUAUCCUAUGUUGAGACCACCCGCUUUGUCGAGUAUAACUCAAACGUUGUAACUUUAAUCAAACUGAUAAAAAAUUUCACAUAAAGCAGACUCAAAUUACUAUAAGUUCCCUGUUUUAUGUUUUCUCCAAUUUCUUAUCAAUUAUGAAUAAAGUUUUUUCACAACGUUGAUGGUGGUAUCAAAGACGCCAAU